ACUUCCUGUUCUUGUAAUGAUAUCAAUUCCAGUUUCAGUUCUCUUAAUAUCCCAUCUCCCCUGCUCUUUUUUCUAAGACAUGGCGGAUAGUUACUGGAGAUACGCCGGCGACUCACGGCAGCCGCAACCGCAGUCUAUGCCUUCUCUCACUGGAAAACGCCCUCGCUCCGAUUACGAUGUACCCAGUGGCCGUGACCUAUCCAGUUAUUAUUCCCGUGAUGAUGAUAGAGGAGCUCUUCGUGUAAUUAGAGAUUCGGACUCCAUUGGAGCAUCCUAUGACCGUUACUUGCAUAGUGGGACAAUUUCAUCUUACGGUGGGGGACAGUCUGCUAGAGCCAUAAGUGGGGUGCCUGUUCGUCCUGUUGAUGAUCUGCGCAUGGUAAGUAUGGGGUCCAUGGACCCAGGGUCUAGUGUAAAAGACAGGUCAAUGCGAACAGGAAGUGGAAGAUCUGAGGUUUCCCUUCCUCCUGAUGCUAGCAGCACACUUUUUGUGGAGGGCUUGCCUUCUGAUUGUACACGUCGGGAAGUUUCCCAUAUCUUUCGCCCUUUUGUUGGCUACAAAGAAGUGAGACUUGUAAGCAAGGAAUCAAGACAUCCUGGGGGAGAUCCGUUGGUACUCUGUUUUGUUGACUUUUUGAGUCCUGCACACGCUGCCACUUCCAUGGAUGCUUUGCAAGAAUUCCAACAGCUGAAGUCCUCGUAGUCAACUGAAACCCCAGAUUUGGCUAUCAGCUUUCGGCUCCGAUAACAGAAGUGACCAGACACAUGCAGCCAGCCCACAUGAAAGUAAAGCUUUUACAGCUUCAUUAUGUUGAUCCAACUUUAUCAGCACAUUCAGAAAGCAUGAAACAGCAAUCCUUAAUAUUGGACAAGAACAUAUUCAUAUCAUUGUAUCCUUGGUCAGAGUCCAACCACUGCGAUUCUAGAACUUCAUCACCUCUGUCCAAGUCCUAGGCUGCCUGCCUUGUAUGUAAGAUAUUCUUCAUUUCAGGAACAAAUAUUUCUACGCUGGAAACAAACUGAUGAGCGAACUCGUUGAUGAAUCUGAUCAAGGAGAAUCGAAUCUAUGGAGAUUGCACACAUUUAGCUAAACAAGUGGGUGAUUAUUGAAACAACAACCAUAUCGUCAACAAACGAUUGCACACAGAAUCAAUCAAAGACUUGCGCAUAAGUAUUAAAGACCACAGGCUGAAGAGGAAAAAAUAUAUUUAAAUGUUAUUAUUUUGGUUGGUUUAGGAGCUAAUAGCACAAUCGAAAGAUUUAGGGAUUAAAAUAUACUAUGAUGUAUUGGAGUUGUGGGCUCGUUUCAAGGGUGCAUGCCACUUUUGCCUUUUUCUUCCUCACUUUGUUUGUUUCGGGUUAUAGGAAUCUAAGAAGAAAGCUACAGCUUAAGCAUGCACAUGGUAAGAAACUAAUAAGAUGGAUGAUACUGUGUGUUAGUUGUUUUUUAAAUUAUAUUUUAUUUAAAAAUAUAUUAAAAUAAUGUAUUUAAAAAAAAAUUAUUUUUAAUAUUAAUAUAUCAAAAUAAUUCAAAAAUAUAAAAAGAAAGAUAAAAACAUCUCAUAAACAAUCUUACUUUUUUCAUAAUUCAAGGAUAAUGUUGUUAUUUUACUGUUUUAAAAAAUAAAAAAAACAGAGAAGUCCCUUUAUAUAUGUUAAUUUUCUCUCUCUCUUAAGGGUUUGAUAGUAAGUUAAUUAUUUAUUUUUUUUUUUAAAGACAAGAUUUAUUAUUAUUAUUGUUUUAAGGGUAGAAUAGUUAUUGCACUGUAACAAAAAUAUCUGAACCAUUUUGUUCUUAAUUAAUUUUACAAUGAGGAAUGUAUCCUCUAAAAAAAAACAAUUGUACCCUCAAUUGCAGGCCUAUUCAGUUUUUUUUUUUUGGCAAAAAUAAAAGAAUAUUUAUACUGUUUCAAAUUUUCAAUCCAUAAUAUUUUAUUUCUUAAUUGUUUUAGUAUUUUUUGUAAUAAGGAAGACCAGGUGCUACCAAGCAGAGGAAACUACUAGUCUCACAGAUUAUGUUUUGUAUUAUUUCCAAUCCAGACCCGACAAAGAGAGCACUAGAGAAUCAUUUUAAUGGUCAGACUACUUUCAACCAGUUGAACCUCUUCUUAGCUACGCAUAAGUCUUGUACAUGGGAUUUUUCAUCGCAUGUUGUGGAUAUUAAGCUGGUAGUUAUGUCCUCUUAUUAUCCUCGGAGGUAUUUGGUCAUGGAUAUUCUUAUUAUUGAUGUUUUGUUAUAUCGUUUCUUUGUAUUUGGAGCUUGCAAUGGUGGAUGAUUAAGCAUUUAGGGGUCGUUUUGAAAGCGGUCACACACACUUAUUUUGGAGGUUCAGCAUCGCGGUUGCAAGAUAUGAUCUUUAUGAGGCUGCAGCCUCUUGAACUUCCAGGAAUUCAGCAAAAAACUUUCUGAAUUUGCUGCAAGCUGUGUCUAUGAGGAGAGAAGACGUGCUUAGGAGAUAGAAGUUGAGGCUAGCUUGUUUGGAGUCUGGAAAAACGGAAAAACAUGGCUUUAUAAUUAUCCAUAUCAGCAAGCAUGCCUCAUCAGUAAUGGGGUAAAAUUUUCCUGAUAGGCUUCAAGUUGAUAUCCCAUGAAUAUGAUAAUGUGCUGCUCAUCUCUAGAGACAAGCUGAAACUUUCAAUGAAUCUUCCAUCUUUGAGAGUUAAGAUCAUCCCUUCUUCCUGGUAUUGAUUACCUUAACUGGAAAAAACGAUGUGAACCUGUGUAGAAUAGAUUGUGAUAAGAAGCUGUCAAAAGAAUACCGUAUCAUUAAUGAUCAGCUCUCAUCUUUCUUCAA